CAAGCUGCUACUCAAAUUGCUCUCAUUUAGGUUCCUGAUGUUCAUCUGUGAUCUGCAGGGAUUGCUCUGCUGCUCUGAAUUGCACCAGAGCAAUCCCAGCCAACUGAACAGACGCUCCUCUUCACUCCUCUGCUUUAUGGUGAUGAUGCCACUGGUACUGGACCUUUGGAGACACAGUUACUUCUCCUGAUCACCACUGGGUUCCUUCACAGCCUGCUGUUACUCCUGCUUCUCUGAAGUAUAUACUCUUAUGUUGGAUGGGAAAAUAUGGCCUCUAACAACAUGAGUAACAUCCUUUCACUGCACACCAGUUGCACAUAGAGAAGAGGAAAACUAGAAUGUCAAGAAGGAAAAAGCACCAUCUCUUUUACCUGUCAGUACUAGGACCUACAGACCUUUCCAUCUUAAUUUAUCAUGAAGACCUAGCUAAAAAUACAGUUCCUGACAAGUGGUUCCAAAUAAAUUAAUUGAAAACAUCAACAAGAAAGAUCAUUGACACUUCUGCUAGUUUUACUUUCCUGCAAAAUGAAUCAUUCUGGGUACUGCUGUUUCUUCUGUAGCCUGGAGUAUAACUGUUUACACAUUUAAAAGAGGAUUGUUCAGCUCAUGCAGUCACCUUGGAAAAUGCCAACCAGAUUCCUUUAUGAUGGAACUAAACUGGGAUAUAUUCCCUGGAAGCAUUGUGAAAAUACACCAACUGCAAAAAGGGACAAAGCUCAUGGGCAACACAAGGACCAAUCUAAAUUAAACUCCCCUUGAAAUGUGUACAUCGGGGACACUGGAUCUUAAACAUUAUUUGUUUUGUUUUGCAAAUCUACUGCUUAGCUACACUGCUAGACCAUACAUAACCCUGAAGACCAUAAAGUUUAUUCACUGAAUGCUGAACUUCUCUGAAAAUCUAAAUGUGAGAAUGACAAAAAGCAGUUCACAGACAUUGUAAUUCUUCUCUGCACAGAUAAAUGCACAGUGUCUCAAAAAUACUUCAACAGAGUCUUUUGAAAAUCCAUGGCAUCAUCGGAGAAACAGAUCUGACUGAUUUUGUCUGAAAAAAAAAUUUAGAAGAUGGUUUCAUUUGUAUUUUAGCACAGGAAAUUGUCAGAAGUCUGCCAACAGUUCUGUAAAAUUCUCCAUCUCCUCACUACUUCUUCAAUCUGCAUCCUUUCCCUAAUGAAAUAUACCAUCUCUGCUAUCAAUUCAGCAGUGUGCAAGCACACGCUCAGCUUUCUAGGAGCAAUUCAGUAACAUUCAACCACCCAGAUGUCUGGAAAUGUCUUCACCAGGAACCUGGUAGCAUAUCAGGGUCAAUCCUGAAACCAGUCCUCCUGAUGGUCUCUGCUGAAGAACUUGAGAAGAAUUUCUCCAAAUAACACUGUUUACAGCACUGUCUUACACCCAAGGACGCAGUGCUGUCUGUACCACAUCACUGGGAAAACAUAAUACUUUUGAAAAGUUGUCUUUGGUAGCAAAUAUGGGAAAUUUCAGCAUAAAUCCAAGUUGCC
rnacentral:lncRNA from 1 species